rnacentral:rRNA from 1 species
GGUCAAGUGAAGAAGCGCAUACGGUGGAUGCCUUGGCAGUCAGAGGCGAUGAAAGACGUGGUAGCCUGCGAAAAGCUUCGGGGAGUCGGCAAACAGACUU